GGAACAUAUCUCCGGUGAGUACGAUGCUUACGUGGUGGCCCGUUUUUGCUGACAAGUGUCAUAGUGUGUCACUAGUGAAAAUCAAAGGUCACAUAGAGAGGGAGAGACGUUGGUCUCGAAGCUUGGCGCGAAGAAGAAGGAUACAAGGCGAGAGGCAUUAUCGAAUCAAGGGUAACGGUUCUCAAGUGGCAUCGUGGGAUCACCAUUGUUCGCAAGGAGCAACCCUACGAAGAGAUGGAUCGUUUAGUUACGUUUGUGUAUCAUCACAUGGGUUGCUUGAAAAAGGUUAGAGAUGGGAAUGUGAUAUACGAAGGGGGUUUAGUCACUGAGAUACACAGGGUGAAUGUGGAGACAUGUAAUUUAUUUUUUGUUGAGGGGUUGUUUUUAGACCUGGGUUACCCUGGAUAUAAUGAGGCGUAUUGGCUAGAACCUGGUUUCGAAUUAGGUCAGGGUCUUAGAGUACUAAGGACAGAUGCUGAAGUGAUGAGGAUGUGUGAGAGU